rnacentral:tRNA from 1 species
UCGGGGAUCGUCUAAAGGUCGGAUACCGGACUUUGAAUCCGGCGAUGCGAGGUUCGAGUCCUCCUCCCCGAA